GCGGCUUGAUGAUGCCAUGGAUAGAUGAUUCAUGAACCUUUCUUUCUAAGAUCAGAGAAAAUGGAAGAAGACAUGACAUUAACGAUUGAGUGUGACUCAAGAAUGACAAGACAUAUUUAAAAAAGGGCGCGAAUUAAAAAAACCCAUUUUCAACAUUUUAAAUUUUUGUAGAAACCCAAAAACAGAGUAUUCAAAGUCGAAUGUGUUAAAGAUGUAGUUGACUACAGUGUUACAAAGAGAUUUAAAACAGAGUCAAAACAUACUCAAAAUACAGUUUUCAAAAACAAAGUAUAACAUGUAGACACACAUAGUCGAAUACAAUCAUAAUUUAGUCGACUAUUGUUCGAAAAUUGUUUUCAACAACAACACAAUCAAUCAAUCAUACAAACAAUCAUUCAAUCAAUCAGGCAUAAAAAAACCAUUCAAUUUACACAUAAUGCAAUAGAGUGAUACGAAUUACCCGUUGUAAAUACUCAGGAAGAAUGAUGUUACAAUGUAUAGCUCAUCCUUGAGUUCCUAUUGCAUCUGCCUGUUAUCCCACAAAAUAGUUCAAGUUUUUGUUGCAGGUACCCAUUUGAACUUGGGUCCAUGAUUGCUAGUUUUUCUCAAUUGUUCCUUUAGUUUGCAUACAUAUAAUCCUUUAGGAACAACAACAUUUUUGUAAUAACAAUUUCUAACAGUAUGACCAACACAAUUACAAUAAAAACAUGCAUUUCUAGCAGGUUUGCUUAAAUCAAUAAAUCUCUUUGUAUUGGUUUUGUUAAACUGAGUGAUGUAAGCCUGCCAUGGCCUGGAAUCCAUGAGAUAUAGCUCCAAACAGCAAGCAACCAGUGAAGCAGAGGAGUGCAGCGGAAUUGGAAGUAAAUGAAAGUGAUUUUGGUGUUUUAGUGAUGGAAGGAGUGUGUGAAUUGUCCUCUCAGCUCAGAAAGGCUAUCCACUAUAGAAGGAAGCUAGAGGAAAUGGUAGAGAAAUUGAAGAGUAAGAGUGACUCAAGAGUAAUAGGGCUAGAAAACAAUUUCUGCGGCAUUUCACUAAGCUCAAAAGUGGGAAAUUACAAAGGGGAGGCCCUCUUAUUUAUAGGUGAAGAGGGGUCUCAUUUCUGAUCUAAUUCCCUCCUAAAAUUCAAAUAAUUAUGCCCAAGAGACGCGCCAAUUCGAACCAGCAAGAGCCAUGCUUCAUUCUAGCUCAGCUAGCUCAUGCAUAGCAUGUGUCCUCGCCAGAGCUUGGGCGGCCAUGAGAUUGCAGCUUAGGCGUCACUCUGUCAGCAGCUCCCAGCUUUGCCUCUUUGCUGGCUU
rnacentral:lncRNA from 1 species